UACGUAGGUGGCAAGCGUUGUCCGGAAUUAUUGGGCGUAAAGCGCGCGCAGGUGGUUUCUUAAGUCUGAUGUGAAAGCCCACGGCUCAACCGUGGAGGGUCAUUGGAAACUGGGGAACUUGAGUGCAGGAGAGAAGAGUGGAAUUCCACGUGUAGCGGUGAAAUGCGUAGAGAUGUGGAGGAACACCGAUGGCGAAGGCAGCCUUCUGGGCCAACACUGACGCUCAUGCACGAAAGCGUGGGGAGCAAACAGG
rnacentral:rRNA from 1 species